rnacentral:lncRNA from 1 species
GCUGUAAUCUUUGGCUAUAUAAGGCCGUCGUGCGCCCCCCGGAGGACGAGGAGAGCUUCACGGCCAGGGUUUUUGUUUGAUUUAGGAUUUACUUUCUAAUUCUAUGUAUGUGCAACAUGAGUGUUUCUGAUUCUCGCUGAAGUCAGAAAAGGGCUUUGGAUACCCAGAAAUUGGAGCUACUCAUGGUUAUGAACGGUCAUGUGAGUACUGGGAACCGAACCCAAGUCUCCAAUUGCUGUAAGUGCUCUUCACCACUGAGCCAACUCUCUAGCCAGGGUCUUAAUUGGCUGAGGUGCCUAUCCUGAGAAACCUACCUAAUUGAUGCUCAAAUAGUCACCUAACCACGAGGGGUAUCAGUGGGGCAUUUCUUUUUUCUUUUUGCCGUGCCUAGAUACAUACACUAGACAAGGGCACUCCAACUAAGCUACACUCUGGAAAUAUAUUUGAUUUUUUUUUUUUUGUUUUUUUGUUUUUUUGUUUUUGCUUUGUUCUGGGGUGUUUGGAGGGAGGCGACACUGUGCACCCGCAUGCAGAGGUUAGAGGAGCAUACAGCUUCCCACCCCUUUGUUUAGUCUUCCAUUUUCUUUCCUUUAAGACAGGCUUCUUCACUGAAGUACUUCAGCUGGGCAGGCUGGCUAGCAAGCUCCCAGCAUCUGCUUGCCUCCACCCCAAAGCCUAGGGUGGCACUCACCUGGUCAUACCCAGCUUUAAAUGGGUGCUGGGGAUUAGAACUCAGGUCCUGAGACCUGUGCACAGCUUUCUAACCCACUGAGCCCUCUCCCCAACCGCUUUUCUGUUUUGCUUUUGAUUGAGGUAAGGUCUCAUGUAACACAGACUGGAUGGACUUGCCCAUUACACAGUGCUGGAGAUGAAACGCAAAGCCUUGUGCUUGCUAGACAGUUACUCCAGUCACUGAGCAACAUCCCCAGAACCCCUCUUUCUGUUUGUCUGGACAGGGUCUGGCACUGUAGCCUAGACUGAUCUUGGACUUCUGACAGUUUUCCUAAAUGCUAAGAUUACAGGCCUGAGUCACCAUGGCCGCCUGCUUUUUAAAUUUUUAAUCAAUUUAUUUGGUGUUUAUUUUAAAAGAUUCUCCUUCUGCACUCCAGGCUCAUCUCAUUUUCAAAUCUAUAAAAUCCAUCUGCCUCAGCCUCUGGGAUCCUAGGAUUACAGACUUGAGCCAACACAUGCAAUUUUGGAAGGGUAUUCUACCAGCAUUUAACAAUUCUCACAGAGAGAAGUCACCUGGAUAAGCACUGGUGCAUGACGAACAUAUGACAUAGGCCCUGGGUUAUUACACAGCCUCAAAAGCAAUUCUGGUGGUGUACACCUAUAGUCUCAGUCCAGUGGAGGUCGAGGUGGGAGCACACCUGUAAUCUCAGUACAGUGGAGACAGAGGUGGGAACACACCUAUAGUCUCAGUACAGUGGAGACAGAGGUGGGAACACACCUAUAGUCUCAGUACAGUGGAAAUAGAGGUGAGAGAUUGACUCAGAUCAUUCUCAGUUACACAGAGAACUCAGGGCCAACCUGGGUUACCUGGAAACUGGUAUUUUAAAAUAAAUAAAAGCUGGUUUUGUUUUG